AUUGAACGCUGGCGGCAGGCUUAACACAUGCAAGUCGAGCGGGGGGAAGGUAGCUUGCUACCUAACCUAGCGGCGGACGGGUGAGUAAUGCUUAGGAAUCUGCCUAUUAGUGGGGGACAACAUUUCGAAAGGGAUGCUAAUACCGCAUACGCCCUAAGGGGGAAAGCAGGGGAUCUUCGGCCCUUGCGCUAAUAGAUGAGCCUAGUUCGGAUUAGCUAGUUGGUGGGGUAAAGGCCUACCAAGGCGACGAUCUGUAGCGGGUCUGAGAGGAUGAUCCGCCACACUGGGACUGAGACACGGCCCAGAAUCCUACGGGAGGCAGCAGUGGGGAAUAUUGGACAAUGGGGGGAACCCUGAUCCAGCCAUGCCGCGUGUGUGAAGAAGGCCUUUUGGUUGUAAAGCACUUUAAGCGAGGAGGAGGCUACCGAGAUUAAUACUCUUGGAUAGUGGACGUUACUCGCAGAAUAAGCACCGGCUAACUCUGUGCCAGCCGCCGCAGUAAUAC
rnacentral:rRNA from 1 species